CCUGAACGCUGGCGGCGUGGCUAAGACAUGCAAGUCGCACGGACCCGCAAGGGUUAGUGGCGAACGGGUGAGUAAUGAAUCGCUAAUGUGCCCCGGACUCUGGGAUAGCUACCCAAAAGGGUAGGUAAUACCAGAUGAUAUAUCCUGACCGCAUGGUCGGGAUCUCAAAGGUCCGCCGGUCUGGGAGCAGGCGAUUUCGUAUCAGCUUGUUGGUGAGGUAACGGCUCACCAAGGCGACGACGCGUAGCCGGACUGAGAGGUUGGCCGGCCACAUUGGGACUGAGACACUGCCCAGACUCCUACGGGGGGCUGCAGUAACGAAUCUUCCGCAAUGCACGAAAGUGUGACGGAGCGACGCCGCGUGUAGGACGAAGCCCUUCGGGGUGUAAACUACUGUCAGGGGUUAGAAAGUUCUGAUCAACCCCAGAGGAAGGGACGGCUAACUCUGUGCCAGCAGCCGCGGUAAGACAGGGGUCCCGAGCGUUAGGCGGAAUCACUGGGCUUAAAGCGUGUGUAGGCGGACUUCUAAGUACCUUGUGAAAUCCCACGGCUUAACCGUGGAACUGCUUGGUAUACUGGUUGUCUUGGGCCAUCUAGGGGCUACUGGAACAAACGGUGGAGCGGUGAAAUGCGUAGAUAUCGUUUGGAACGCCAAUGGUGAAAACAAGUAGCUGGGGAUGUGCCGACGCUGAGACACGAAAGCCAGGGGAGCGAACGGGAUUAGAUACCCCGGUAGUCCUGGCUGUAAACGAUGUCGACUAGAUCGUGGUGGCUCUGACGCCGUCACGGUCGAAACAAAAGUGCUAAGUCGACCGCCUGGGAAGUACGGUCGCAAGGCUA
rnacentral:rRNA from 1 species